rnacentral:rRNA from 1 species
UGUUCAGGGGUAAACCUAUGGUUCCCGAAAGUUCGAAAGAGGAGAUUCAAUUGCCUCGCCGGUUAUGAUCAUUAAGCAGUGUAUAUAUUGUAUAUAUGUGUGACAUUUUAUUCAUUGCGGACAUUCGUGUUCGUAAUUGUUAUAUUGUGCACCAUUGUUUUAUGCUUUUUUAUGACCGGAGGCAUGCACUUCUCCUCUAGUAGGUCGUCGUGACCCAUUGGGUACAUUUUGUCUAAGGCUCACAAUGGAGACCGUGGUGUCAAUAUGUGUUUACGCGCAUUUUGUGCAUUCACGGACUUGUGAUGUCCCGACAUAUGCCUGAUGGUAUAAUUGUGAUGAUAAAACGCUAUAUACCUAUAUAGUGAGCGUUCAGAUCUAUGACAAAUGCUCGUAUGAUUGUGGAAAUCGGAUUAUGCGCCGGUUCUACACAUAUGGUAUUGUUAGUCAUGGUAUUCUCGAACCGUUUUUUAUCAUCCGUCAACGGCGUUUAUGUUUUGGGUAAUUACAGGACCCGUCUUGAAACACGGACCAAGGAGUCUAGCAUGUGCGCAAGUCAUUGGGAUAUUUUAUAAACCUAAAGGCGUAAUGAAAGUGAAUAUAUAAUAAAAAUUUUAUUUUUAUUUAUAAAGGGAAGAUGGGUAACGUUUUUUAUGUUACCUCGCAUUCCCGGGGCGUCGCGUAUUCAUUGCGAAUUGCGGCGCACCAAGAGCGUACACGCUGGGACCCGAAAGAUGGUGAACUAUGCCUGGUCAGGAUGAAGUCAGGGGAAACCCUGAUGGAGGUCCGUAGCGAUUCUGACGUGCAAAUCGAUCGUAUGAACUGGGUAUAGGGGCGAAAGACUAAUCGAACCAUC